rnacentral:rRNA from 1 species
UGGGGAAUAUUGGACAAUGGGCGCAAGCCUGAUCCAGCCAUGCCGCGUGAGUGAUGAAGGCCUUAGGGUUGUAAAGCUCUUUUAUCCGGGACGAUAAUGACGGUACCGGAGGAAUAAGCCCCGGCUAACUUCGUGCCAGCAGCCGCGGUAAUACGAAGGGGGCUAGCGUUGCUCGGAAUCACUGGGCGUAAAGGGCGCGUAGGCGGCGUUUUAAGUCGGGGGUGAAAGCCUGUGGCUCAACCACAGAAUGGCCUUCGAUACUGUGACGCUUGAGUAUGGUAGAGGUUGGUGGAACUGCGAGUGUAGAGGUGAAAUUCGUAGAUAUUCGCCAGAACACCGGUGGCGAAGGCGGCCAACUGGACCAUUACUGACGCUGAGGCGCGAAAGCGUGGGGGGCAAACAGG